UGGGGAAUAUUGCACAAUGGGCGAAAGCCUGAUGCAGCAACGCCGCGUGAGUGAUGAAGGUCUUCGGAUUGUAAAUGCUCUGUCUUUUGGGGACGAUAAUGACGGUACCAAAGGAGGAAGCCACGGCUAACUACGUGCCAGCAGCCGCGGUAAUACGUAGGUGGCGAGCGUUGUCCGGAUUUACUGGGCGUAAAGGGUGCGUAGGCGGAUGUUUAAGUGAGAUGUGAAAUACCCGGG
rnacentral:rRNA from 1 species